UGGCGGAUCUCCUCACUUCCUCCACGGAGGCUUUCCUCCAUCAGGUGAGUUUGCUUGGCAGACAAGUAAACACUACCCUGGUCUUCUUUUAAACUCUUGUAACAUAGUUUGCCAAAUGGUCUACAGGUAAGUCUUUCAAGGUAAUAAGAGAGAGAGAGUAGGAAUGAAGAAAGGAAAGAGGUGGAGGGAGAAGGGCAGGAGGUAGGGAGAGGGAGAGAGUUUUUAUAGUACAAAUUGGUUGAUUAUGUUAAAUCAUAUACCCUUGUAAUUCCAAAUUUUGUUCAUCUCCCAGGCUGUGAACUCCAGAAGAACUGAAGCCAACUGAAUCUGCACCUUGACAUUGUGCUCAGCAUGAUAGGGAGUUUGCAGUAGAGAAUGUGUUUGACAGCACAGACUUACCUGUAGCUGGACUUUUGGCUACUUCAUGGAUUCCCUUCUACGACACUUCCCUACCUUAAUACCUUCCAACCCCCCAAACUAGAACUUCAGGGAUGGAAAUGGAGAGGAGCCUGAGG